rnacentral:rRNA from 1 species
UGGGGAAUAUUGGGCAAUGGAGGCAACUCUGACCCAGCAACGCCGCGUGAGGGAAGAAGGUUUUCGGAUUGUAAACCUCUGUCCUAGGGGACGAAGCAAGUGACGGUACCCUAGGAGGAAGCCCCGGCUAACUACGUGCCAGCAGCCGCGGUAAUACGUAGGGGGCAAGCGUUGUCCGGAAUUACUGGGCGGAAAGGGGGCGUAGGCGGUAUGGUAAGUUAGAUGUGAAAUCCCCGGGCUUAACUCGGGAGUUGCAUUUAAAACUGUCAGACUAGAGUGCAGGAGAGGAAAGCGGAAUGCCUAGUGUAGCGGUGAAAUGCGUAGAUAUUAGGAGGAACACCAGUGGCGAAGGCGGCUUUCGGGACUGUAACUGACGCUGAGGCACGAAAGCGUGGGGAGCGAACA